GUGGGGAUUCUAGAAGGCACAGCCAGAGGUUGGGGAACAGGAUGCAGGGCAGGGCCAAAGGUCAUGGUGGUUGCUACCUACACCGGCUCAUCCUGAGUACAAAGGGUUCUCAGCACAGAGGGAACCCCAAAUCUCCCCCUCCAUGUACCUAGAGGCAGUUUCAGUCUUUCAUCCCACGGGCAUUUUCUGAGCACCUACUAUAUGCUGGAAUUUGCCCCAUGUCUGGGGAUACAAACAACUCAAAGAAUUUGAGGCUGUAAAAUGGCUAGAUGGGAAGGGACCAAAAAGGGGGUGCAACGGGCCAGUCAGGGUUCUCACUGAUGUCUUGGGUGUGGCUCUGAGACUGCGGGCUCCUUGGGGUGGGGCCGGACUUGAUCUCUUGGGAUCCCCACUGGGCCCGGCAAAAGUGGGUACUGACCCUGAGCCGCAGCGCUAUAAGGGGAAGUCAGGCUGCUGUCCUGGAUCACCUCCUGGGGCUGGGCUGGGGCCCAGCAUGAGUCACCGCUGGCUGGGCCAAGGCUGACACGCACCUUGGACUCAGUGCAGCUGGCUCCAGCCAAAGCCAGCCUGGCCCAGAAGCCUCUGCCUGGCUUCCUUGGGGAGCCGCUGGGGGUUGCCGGGACAAGAACCAGCAGGGGUGCCUGACCUCCCUCUGCAGCGAUCACCCCCUCCAAAACCUUCCCUAUACUGUGGGUGUGACUUUGGACAAAAUCAGGGACAGGCUUCCGAGGACUGUGCAGCUGAGGCUGGGAGGUGGCGCUCAGCUGCAUGACUGGGGGAAGAGUAGCUGGCACAGAACUACAGCUGCAGCCGUGCAAAGACCCUGAGGCCAGGAAGGCAGGAUAUUGGGAAUUUGGGUGGAGAGGCUCCUGAAAGGAGACACUGGCCAGCCCAGGGACUGGUGCAGUCAGGACUUUUUCCAAAAAGGUUUCAAGUAAGGAGUCAGAUCUGUGAUUUAGAAAAAGCCCUUCACAUCACAGCUCAUGCCUGCUUGACUCCCCCAUCAGACUGGAGGGCUGGCCUCAACUAGGUGUCAAUAAAUGCUGGGGACGCUGGGCGUGAGGCAGGACAAUCAGUUGAGCCUAGGAGGUCAAGGCUGCAGUGAGCUGUGGUCUUGCCACUGCACUCUGGCCAAGGCAAGAGCG
rnacentral:lncRNA from 10 species